AUGGCACUUUCCGUGGCAGUCUUCUUUGAUCCUAGAUACAAGAGAAACGUGAUAGAAUACUAUGCACCAACCAUUUACCCCACCACCCAUGACCAACAGAUUGAGAAGUUUACAAAAGUUAUUACCCAGUUGUUUGAAGCUUACGUCUCUACAUCAAAGAAGACAACCUGUAACAGUAGUGAUACUAAUAUGUGUGAAACACCUUCUGUUGAUCUUGAUCUAGAUGAUGGUUUAGACUCGUUCUUGAGUAGCAGAAGUCAAAAAUCAGACCGUGUUCUCAAAACUGAGUUGGAAGUAUACAUGGAGCAAGAGUUACAAUCUAGAAAAGAUUCGAAUUUUGAUAUACUAUCAUGA
rnacentral:rRNA from 1 species